GACGAACGCUGGCGGCGUGCUUAACACAUGCAAGUCGAGCGGUAAGGCCCUUUCGGGGGUACGACGAGCGGCGAACGGGUGAGUAACACGUGGGUGACCUGCCCUCAGCUCUGGGAUAGGCCUGGGAAACCGGGUCUAAUACCGGAUAUGACUCCAUGACGCAUGUUGUGGGGUGGAAAGCCUUGUGCGGCUGAGGAUGGGCCCGCGGCCUAUCAGCUUGUUGGUGGGGUGAUGGCCUACCAAGGCGACGACGGGUAGCCGGCCUGAGAGGGCGACCGGCCACACUGGGACUGAGACACGGCCCAGACUCCUACGGGAGGCAGCAGUGGGGAAUCUUGCGCAAUGGGCGAAAGCCUGACGCAGCGACGCCGCGUGAGGGAUGACGGCCU
rnacentral:rRNA from 1 species